rnacentral:rRNA from 1 species
UGGGGAAUAUUGCACAAUGGGCGCAAGCCUGAUGCAGCCAUGCCGCGUGUGUGAAGAAGGCCUUCGGGUUGUAAAGCACUUUCAGCGGGGAGGAAGGCGUUAAGGUUAAUAACCUUGGCGAUUGACGUUACCCGCAGAAGAAGCACCGACUAACUCCGUGCCAGCAGCCGCGGUAAUACGGAGGGUGCAAGCGUUAAUCGGAAUUACUGGGCGUAAAGCGCACGCAGGCGGUCUGUCAAGUCGGAUGUGAAAUCCCCGGGCUCAACCUGGGAACUGCAUUCGAAACUGGCAGGCUAGAGUCUUGUAGAGGGGGGUAGAAUUCCAGGUGUAGCGGUGAAAUGCGUAGAGAUCUGGAGGAAUACCGGUGGCGAAGGCGGCCCCCUGGACAAAGACUGACGCUCAGGUGCGAAAGCGUGGGGAGCAAACAGG